AUUGAACGCUGGCGGCAGGUCUAACACAUGCAAGUCGAGCGGAUGAAGGGAGCUUGCUCCUGGAUUCAGCGGCGGACGGGUGAGUAAUGCCUAGGAAUCUGCCUGGUAGUGGGGGAUAACGUCCGGAAACGGGCGCUAAUACCGCAUACGUCCUGAGGGAGAAAGUGGGGGAUCUUCGGACCUCACGCUAUCAGAUGAGCCUAGGUCGGAUUAGCUAGUUGGUGGGGUAAAGGCCUACCAAGGCGACGAUCCGUAACUGGUCUGAGAGGAUGAUCAGUCACACUGGAACUGAGACACGGUCCAGACUCCUACGGGAGGCAGCAGUGGGGAAUAUUGGACAAUGGGCGAGAGCCUGAUCCAGCCAUGCCGCGUGUGUGAAGAAGGUCUUCGGAUUGUAAAGCACUUUAAGUUGGGAGGAAGGGCAGUAAGUUAAUACCUUGCUGUUUUGACGUUACCAACAGAAUAAGCACCGGCUAACUUCGUG
rnacentral:rRNA from 1 species